rnacentral:pre_miRNA from 1 species
AGCUUUUCGAAUCCGUGCUGAGAUUUCGUAAGACACUAACGCAUUUGGGAUUAUCAGACUUCCCAGAUAAGUGAAGUU